GACGAACGCUGGCGGCGUGCUUAACACAUGCAAGUCGAACGGAAAGGCCCUGCUUUUGUGGGGUGCUCGAGUGGCGAACGGGUGAGUAACACGUGAGUAACCUGCCCUUGACUUUGGGAUAACUUCAGGAAACUGGGGCUAAUACCGGAUAGGAGCUCCUGCUGCAUGGUGGGGGUUGGAAAGUUUCGGCGGUUGGGGAUGGACUCGCGGCUUAUCAGCUUGUUGGUGGGGUAGUGGCUUACCAAGGCUUUGACGGGUAGCCGGCCUGAGAGGGUGACCGGCCACAUUGGGACUGAGAUACGGCCCAGACUCCUACGGGAGGCAGCAGUGGGGAAUAUUGCACAAUGGGCGGAAGCAUGAUGCAGCAACGCCGCGUGCGGGAUGACGGCCUUCGGGUGGUAAACCGCUUUCGCCUGUGACGAAGCGUGAGUGACGGUAAUGGGUAAAGAAGCACCGGCUAACUACGU
rnacentral:rRNA from 1 species